AUUGAACGCCGGCGGCAGGCCUAACACAUGCAAGUCGAGCGGAUGAAGGGAGCUUGCUCCUGGAUUCAGCGGCGGACGGGUGAGUAAUGCCUAGGAAUCUGCCUGGUAGUGGGGGAUAACGUUCGGAAACGGGCGCUAAUACCGCAUACGUCCUGAGGGAGAAAGUGGGGGAUCUUCGGACCUCACGCUAUCAGAUGAGCCUAGGUCGGAUUAGCUAGUUGGUGGGGUAAAGGCCUACCAAGGCGACGAUCCGUAACUGGUCUGAGAGGAUGAUCAGUCACACUGGAACUGAGACACGGUCCAGACUCCUACGGGAGGCAGCAGUGGGGAAUAUUGGACAAUGGGCGAAAGCCUGAUCCAGCCAUGCCGCGUGUGUGAAGAAGGUCUUCGGAUUGUAAAGCACUUUAAGUUGGGAGGAAGGGCAGUAAGUUAAUACCUUGCUGUUUUGACGUUACCAACAGAAUAAGCACCGGCUAACUUCGUG
rnacentral:rRNA from 1 species